GUCACGAUCAGAAAGGUUGAAAUCCAGAUCAUGAAUCUGGAAAGCGCUGGUUCGAUCCCAGCUCGUGACA
rnacentral:tRNA from 1 species